rnacentral:piRNA from 1 species
UGUCAGAAAUAUGCCUCGUUAAGUGGAUG